CAAAUCCUGAAGUGUUCGUCAUUUGCUAAUCAGUUUUGACCGAACAUCUAAAUCGUCGGGAGUCUGCAUUUCGGUUAGGAUGACAUGCCCAUUAUCGGGACGUCAGAGGAACCGGAUAGGACACCCACCUGCUAAGUGCGGGUUCAAAACGAUACUUCAAAGACGGCACAUUCGGGAUUUGC
rnacentral:other from 1 species